rnacentral:misc_RNA from 1 species
GUGAAGUUCAAAGAAGGUGUGGUAGUGGAAGAGCUACUUCAAGGGAUGAGUAAGCUUGUCUCUGAGAUGGAGACUGUCAAGUCAUUUGAAUGGGGCUGUGAUGAGGUGAGUGAGGAGAUGCUGCGUCAGGGCUUUACCCAUGUAUUUUUGUUGACCUUCGCAAGUGCUGAAGAUUUUGCUGCUUACUCCGGCCAUCCCAAUCAUCUUGAGUUUGCUGGUACUUUUGCUGCGGCAAUUGAGAAGGUGCUGUUGUUUAAUUUCCCUGUUGUUCCGGUGAAGCCUUUGGUAUAAGUAUUUGAUUGCUUGGUUUGCGGCAGUUCAUUUCUUUUCUUCCUAGUCACUUUCACUGUCUUUGCGAGUAUUGAGAAACUAUAAUUAUAGGUUAAUUGUGCAUCAAAUAAUGAGUUUCUGUUGUGUUUGAUUGAGUAUGGAAAUGGAUGUACUAAAUUGGUUCUAGAUUGUGCAUCAAAUAAUGAGCUUUUGUUGUGUUUGAUUGUGUAUGGAAAUGGAUGUAAUAAAUUGUGUAACCCUGAUACUGGAUUAUUUGUAAUUUCAUUAGUUGAGUUGCAACAUUGCUG